UAUAGCAGACAGUAGAUAUUGAUUAUCUAAUGACAUGCAGGUUAUAUGCCUUAAGAUCUGUACAAUUUAAACUCAGCAUAUGGUUCUGAGGAGGAACUUAAACACUGCAUUGAAGAAAUGCAUUCUCAAGACCUUUUGGCCUUGGGAGAUGUUGUGCUGAAUCAUCGGUGUGCACAUAAACAGGUGAUAUAUUCCAUGCUGCACCAAACAUCGAUCAUUCCCAGGAGUUUGUAAGAAAAGAUAUAAAAGAGUGGUUAAAUUGGCUUCGAAAUUACAUUGGUUAUGAUGGGUGGCGCCUCGACUUUGUGAGGGGCUUCUCAGGUUCUUAUGUAAAAGAAUAUAUUGAAGCUUCAAAUCCUGCAUUUGCUAUUGGAGAAUAUUGGGAUAGUUUAGGUUAUGAGCAUGGCGACUUGUGUUACAAUCAAGGUAAGAACUUAAGGCCCGAAAGAAAGUCUUCACUUAAGGAUUUUAGCUGUUAUGUUUGCUCAAUGUUGAGAGAUCUGUGUGCAUUCACGUACAGUUUAUUUACCUGCUACCUCACUGUUUUCAGGGUGGCAUUUUUU